rnacentral:lncRNA from 1 species
CAGACUAAUAACAUGGCAGGUAAAUAAUUAAUUCUGAAGGUUUAUAUCUUUUACAUCCUUACAAGUAGCUUGAGAACGGUUUUAAUUUAUGAUAGCAUUAUCACCUAUACGAUAGAGAUAUGCAAACAAAACAUGCAAAAUUUGAAACGAAAUGAGAAUACCAUGGAAGAAAAAGAAAGAUUACAAACAAACAGACUGUCUACAAACCGCAACAUAGAAUUUAAAAAA